rnacentral:rRNA from 1 species
AACCUCCGCAAUGUGAGAAAUCGCGACGGGGGGAUCCCAAGUGCCAUUCUUAACGGGAUGGCUUUUCAUUAGUGUAAAGAGCUUUUGGAAUAAGAGCUGGGCAAGACCGGUGCCAGCCGCCGCGGUAACACCGGCAGCUCUAGUGGUAACAAUUUUUAUUGGGCCUAAAGCGUCCGUAGCCGGUUUAAUAAGUCUCUGGUGAAAUCCUGCAGCUUAACUGUGGGAAUUGCUGGAGAUACUAUUAGACUUGAGACCGGGAGAGGUUAGAGGUACUCCCAGGGUAGAGGUGAAAUUCUGUAAUCCUGGGAGGACCGCCUGUUGCGAAGGCGUCUAACUGGAACGGUUCUGACGGUGAGGGACGAAAGUUAGGGGCGCGAACCGGAUUAGAUACCCGGGUAGUCCCAACUGUAAACGAUGCGGACUUGGUGUUGGGGUGGCUUUGAGCUGCUUCAGUGCCGAAGGGAAGCUGUUAAGUCCGCCGCCUGGGAAGUACGGUCGCAAGACUGAAACUUAAAGGAAUU